UUCAUGCUGUUGCUGGCAUUGCUGCUAAUAUUGCUGUAAUAAAUGGAUUGAGCUCAGCCUUUGCACCACGAGCUGCAGCACUGCAAGAAUGAAAUGUCAAACCGGGUCACGUUAAAUAAUUGAUAAGACUAAUUAAACCAUUAAACCAUUUAAAUAUAGUCGUUUUAAUGCUUAUUCAAAUGGUCAUCCUGUCACUCUAAGUAUUAUCUUUUUUCUUUUUGUUCAUUAUUUUUGGUUGCUUUUGGUCCCUUGGUCCCCAGAGACGUCUGAUUCAGUGGCCAAGAGUUGCGUCGCACAGUGAAGAACUUAUCUGAAGCAGCAGAGAGGCAACUGGCUGUGGUUGAGACGGAAAGAUUCUGGCUGGGGAUCUCAAGCACAAUAGAAAGAAAGAAACGCUGAUGUACAGGGAUCUUGGUCUGUCUCUUCCAAUGUUAUUUCUACCGAUGUUGAUGACUACUACCGGGUCGUCUCCUGUUCGUUCUAGGAGCCUGUCCAUAAGACAGAAGCAGUCAGUUUGCUCGGGGCUGCGGAGGAGAAGGAGGCAGAAGAGGUGCUCUGCUUCAUAAAAAGUUGAAAUCACCAAACACCGCUCCACAGGGUCCAACACUUCCUGCAUUGCCGAGAUGACCGUUCCAGACCUCCCAGAUGUGAAGAAGGCGGGCUUUCUGGUUUCCCCACCAGAAAUAGUGUUCAACAAAAUAAAGUUUCUUUUUUUAAAGUC